GAUGAACGCUGGCGGCGUGCCUAAUCCAUGCAAGUCGAGCGAACAGACGAGGAGCUUGCUCCUCUGACGUUAGCGGCGGACGGGUGAGUAACACGUGGAUAACCUGCCUAUAAGACUGGGAUAACUUCGGGAAACCGGAGCUAAUACCGGAUAAUAUAUUGAACCGCAUGGUUCAAUAGUGAAAGACGGUUUUGCUGUCACUUAUAGAUGGAUCCGCGCCGCAUUAGCUAGUUGGUAAGGUAACGGCUUACCAAGGCAACGAUGCGUAGCCGACCUGAGAGGGUGAUCGGCCACACUGGAACUGAGACACGGUCCAGACUCCUACGGGAGGCAGCAGUAGGGAAUCUUCCGCAAUGGGCGAAAGCCUGACGGAGCAACGCCGCGUGAGUGAUGAAGGUCUUCGGAUCGUAAAACUCUGUUAUUAGGGAAGAACAAAUGUGUAAGUAACUAUGCACGUCUUGACGGUACCUAAUCAGAAAGCCACGGCUAACUACGUG
rnacentral:rRNA from 1 species